GACAAAUUAAAGCAAUCGAUGCAAGAAGGAAUUGAUUCUGAGAGAAUCGCUGUAUUUUGAAGAUGGAACGAAAUUAAAAACUUAUUGAAGA